rnacentral:rRNA from 1 species
CCUACGGGGGGCAGCAGUAGGGAAUCUUCCACAAUGGGCGAAAGCCUGAUGGAGCAACGCCGCGUGGGUGAAGAAGGUCUUCGGAUCGUAAAACCCUGUUGUUAGAGAAGUAAGUGCGUGAGAGUAACUGUUCACGUUUCGACGGUAUCUAACCAGAAAGCCACGGCUAACUACGUGCCAGCAGCCGCUGUAAUACGUAGGUGGCAAGCGUUAUCCGGAUUUAUUGGGCGUAAAGGGAACGCAGGCGGUCUUUUAAGUCUGAUGUGAAAGGCUUCGGCUUAACCGGAGUAGUGCAUUGGAAACUGGGAGACUUGAGUGCAGAAGAGGAGAGUGGAACUCGAUGUGUAGCGGUGAAAUGCGUAGAUAUAUGGCAGAACACCAGUGGCGAAGGCGGCUCUCUGGUCUGUAACUGACGCUGAGGUUCGAAAGCGUGGGUAGCAAACAGGAUUAGAUACCCUGGUAGUC